AAACAUGAAUUGUGGUUUGAAUUUUUACCAUUGCCUUAGAAAGCUUGAGACCAUUUACAUUGCAAUUUUGGUUGUAUUGAAGUUGGGGAGAAAAGUGUUGGUUGCUAAGAGGUUGAGAAAGAAAAAGAAAAAGGAAAAAAUGAAGAAAAGAAAAAUGAAAAAGAAAAGAAAAAGAAAAAAAGCCUUGAAAAAACCAACAAAAAAAUAGCAAAAAUGUUUUGUGCUAAUAAGUUGUGUGAAAAGGUGUAACAUUUGAGCAAUAAGAAAAAGGUAAAAAAAAGUUG
rnacentral:lncRNA from 1 species